CAAUUAGGAUGAGUGAGGCUACUAUGCUAUCAUCGGAAGCACGGAGCUUUUCGUGUUUUCAGCUUGUUUUCGAUGUUGCGACUUUCAAAUCGUCGAUCAGCUCCGUUAAACUUGAUCUAGAGUAUUUGAAGUACCUAGAAAAUAAAUUUUAUGAUUUUACGAUAUCAUUUGCCUAGUAAACGAAGGGGCUCAAAAUCAACGGCUGAAAAUAAAAAUCUUACAAAAUGUAAUAAUAUGAAAUUAAAAUUUUAAAUCAAAGAUAUUGAUCUUGUUUUAUGUAGUAUAAAGAAUUUUCUAUUAAAAUUUCACGUGAUUUGGAUAUUUCUAUACUGUUAAACUUGCAAACGGCUCACUACGGUCAUUGAAAUUUGUUGAUUUUGAGUCCAUUCGAUCACUAGGCAAAUGAUAUCGAAAAAUAAUAAAAUUUAUUUUCUAGGUACUUCAAAUACUCUAGAUCAAGUUUAACGAAGCCGAUCGACGAUUUGAAAGUCGCAAUAUCGAAAACGAGCUGGAAGUACGGAAGGCUCCGUACUUCCGAUAGCAUAGUAGCCUCACUCCAAUUAGGAUUACGAAAAAGUUACUAGCC
rnacentral:lncRNA from 1 species